rnacentral:rRNA from 1 species
GAUGAACGCUGGCGGCGUGCCUAAUACAUGCAAGUAGAACGAGGAAGGCGGAGCUUGCUCUUCUGGAGGAGUUGCGGACGGGGGAGUAACGCGUAGGUAACGUGCCUGGUAGGGGGGGAUGACUAUUGGAAACGAUAGCUAAUACCGCAUGACAACAGUUAUUGCAUGAUAACUGUGUAAAAGGGGCAGCUGCUCCACUACCAGAUGGACCUGCGUUUUAUUAGCUAGUUGGGGAGGUAACGGCUCACCAAGGCGACGAGACAUAGCCGACCUGCGAGGGUGCGCGGCCACGCUGGUACUGGGACACGGCCCAGACCCCUACGGGUGGCAGCCGUAGGGGAUCUUCAGCAAUGGCAGCAAGUCUGACCGUGCGACGCCGCGGGAGUGCAGGAGGUAUUCGGGUCGUAAAGCUCUGUUGUGCGUGAAGAUCGUGUGUGAGUGUGGAAAGUUCACACUGUGACGGUAUCUUACGAGAAAGGCACGGCUAACUACGUG